UACAGCCAUGUCAUCUUGAAUCACCGGUUCCCGUACGAUAACAUAAGGUAAGCAACAUCGACCUUUAUCAGUACCUGGAUGGGUGACCGCUUGAGAAUAUCAGGUACUGGA